rnacentral:tRNA from 1 species
GGACAGGUGGCAGAGGGGUUGAAUGCGGCGGUCUUGAAAACCGCUAGCCUGCAAGGGCUCGUGGGUUCGAAUCCCACCCUGUCCGCCG